rfam:Callipepla squamata strain Texas jcf7180005234808, whole genome shotgun sequence.
GAUAACUGGCUUGUGGCGGCCAAGCAUUCGUGGCGACGUUGCUUUUUGAUCCUUCGAUGUCAGCUCCUAUCAUUGUGAAGCAGAAUUCACCAAGCGUUGGAUUGUUCACCCACCAGUAGAGAACGUGAGCUGGAUUUAGACCAUCACGAGACAGGUU